UUCGAGAAUAAUUCACAAUGGGGGCAACCCUGAUGGUGCAACGCCGCGUGGAGGAUGAAGGUCUUCGGAUUGUAAACUCCUGUCAUCCGGGAGCAAGACCUGGCCGUGAAUAGCGGACAGGGUUGAUAGUACCGGAAGAGGAAGGGACGGCUAACUUCGUGCCAGCAGCCGCGGUAAUACGAAGGUCCCGAGCGUUGUUCGGAAUCACUGGGCGUAAAGGGAGCGUAGGCGGCGCGGUAAGUCAGAUGUGAAAUCCUAGGGCUCAACCCUGGAACUGCAUCCGAUACUGCUGUGCUUGAGCAAUGGAGAGGUAGCCGGAAUUCUCGGUGUAGCAGUGAAAUGCGUAGAUAUCGAGAGGAACACUCGUGGCGAAAGCGGGCUACUGGACAUUUGCUGACGCUGAGGCUCGAAGGCCGGGGGAGCGAAAGGGAUUAGAAACCCGUGUAGUCC
rnacentral:rRNA from 1 species